rnacentral:piRNA from 1 species
UAUUGACAAUGAUGUGAAACUAGACUUCAAG